rnacentral:lncRNA from 1 species
GAAAAGGUCAGGAAUUUUGUUCCACUAUUAUUUGGAUACUUUCUCAUCACUGGCCAUUGAGUAUGUAGAAAACGUAAACCAAUUUCCAAUGUACCUUUAAGUUCAGUGCAACAAAGCUAUCCUCAGCAAAAGAAUAGGUAUAAGAUGUAUUCCAAGUCCAAAUUGUGCUUUACUGUUGAUCUUUUUUUUUAUUAUUGAGUUUUUUUUCUUUUUCAUUAAUACUUUAAAUUUUCAAAAGCCCCAGUUACAUGAAAGUGGUAGGUCAGGGUAAAGAAAAUGCACAGAGAUGAAAGAUACAUGAUGUCCUCAGGACCCUCUGGGAAGGCCUCAUAGCCAAUCUUCUCCUCAGCAGACAAAGACCUGGAAACUCAAAGAGAACAACUGACUACUUAAGUUCUACAAUUCUCUUAUCUUAGGGGAUCUUUACAUUUUUUCUUCCGACGACUUCUUUCUUCUUCUACAAAGUAUCUUACUAGCUAAAUAUAACAGUUAUCGCGCUCAGGUUAGGGAAAAAAAAACCCUAUAAUACAGGCAACAGAGAUGGGAAGGAUCUCGAUCGCUGCAUUCUCAUUUCUCAUUCUUUCUUUUUGAACAGAACCGAAGAUGCAAUUCAGCAGAACAGAGAAGCCUGGGGAAAAACCCGUUCUGAAGUCACAGCAGUAGAAAACUGUGAGCUAAAUUAAGAUAAAAUGAAAAAACAGGGAGUGACAAAAAAUAUUGCAGACAUCAUGAAGAUUAUCCACUCAUCUUGAAGAUUAACAGUCUCCUGUGCCUCCCAUCACACCAAACCUCUGAUGACCCAGCCUGGCACCCCAUCAUCACCACCACCACCUCUCAGCCUUCCCAUGCGCCUGCUGUCUUCCUGAUUCUGGUAAGUGAAACAUCAUUGUCCAUACAUUAUUUCUGCUUUAUAUAGGCUGUGAAUUUGUUGUGUCAUUCCUGUUUUUAGUGUAUGUUAGUGUUAUUUUAUGUUUUAUGUGUUAUUUGGUAUGAUUUGGUAGGUUAUUUUUUGGGUCUGGGAAUGCUCAAAAGUUUUUCCCACAUAAAUAAAUGAUAAUUGCUUCUUUGCUUUACGCCA